rnacentral:rRNA from 1 species
GAUGAACGCUAGCUACAGGCUUAACACAUGCAAGUCGAGGGGUAACGAGAGGGAAGCUUGCUUUCCUUGUCGACGACCGGCGCACGGGUGAGUAACGCGUAUCCAACCUGCCCCCAACUAGGGAAUAACCUUGCGAAAGUAAGACUAAUACCCUAUAAUUUCCUCAGAUGUCAUCUGACGAGGAAUAAAGAUUUAUCGGUUGUGGAUGGGGAUGCGUCUGAUUAGCUUGUUGGCGGGGUAACGGCCCACCAAGGCAGCGAUCAGUAGGGGUUCUGAGAGGAAGGGCCCCCACAUUGGAACUGAGACACGGUCCAAACUCCUACGGGAGGCAGCAGUGAGGAAUAUUGGUCAAUGGGCGGAAGCCUGAACCAGCCAAGUAGCGUGCAGGAUGACGGCCCUAUGGGUUGUAAACUGCUUUUAUACAGGAAUAAAGUUAGCCACGUGUGGUUAUUUGUAGGUACUGUAUGAAUAAGGACCGGCUAAUUCCGUGCCAGCCGCCGCGGUAA